UACGGAGGGGGCAAGCGUUGUUCGGAAUUACUGGGCGUAAAGGGCGCGUAGGCGGUUCGAUAAGUCCCGUGUGAAAUCCCUCGGCUCAACUGAGGAACUGCACGGGAAACUGACGGGCUUGAGUUCGGGAGAGGGAAGCGGAAUUCCGGGUGUAGCGGUGAAAUGCGUAGAUAUCCGGAGGAACACCGGUGGCGAAGGCGGCUUCCUGGACCGACACUGACGCUGAGGCGCGAAAGCUAGGGGAGCAAACGGG
rnacentral:rRNA from 1 species